AGAUAGACAAGAUUCUUAAAAAAAGAGGUCACAGUAAAGUAUUUGAAGAGAGAUUUGGUGGCAGUUUUUAGACCAAAUCAUGUCAUGGCUGUGAACACAAUGUCAUUCUAAUGAAACCUUGUCUUCAUUGAGGAAGAGAGUGAGCGAGAGACUUGAAGUAACUCUGGAACAAAUUCAGAUAGGAACGACAGAGAAUGGUUAACUUAUUAUAAUAUGUUACUAUAAGUUCAGUCUCACUAAAGAGCAUCAGAUAAUUGUCAGGACAAUUGGUGUUGGUGGAUAUAGAACUUCAACACUUGAUUCUAAUACUGAGAGAUGAAAGAUUGCUCUAAGACAAAAAAGAGUUCACUGUAAAGUAUUUGAGGAGAGAGUCAGUGGGCAGCUAUUGGACCAAAUUAUGUCACAGCUGUGAACACAGGUUCAAGAAGCAGCAGGGUUUCACAUCCCUCCAGCUCUCAGUCAUUUACUCUAGGAGUCUCACUGAGAGUCUCUAGGAGUUUGUAUGAGGAGACAUGCUUGGAGUAACAACCUUUCUGGAGAGUGUCAAGAUAAGAGGGACACUUUAAAGCGUACAUGCAUCAAGACUCCUC